CUUGGGCUGUUGCUGCACUGCAGCUGCCUGGACUUGGCUCUCCAAGGUAUCCAAGCGACCAUGAGCUCAGAGCCUCUCCCAGCUCCGCUCUUGCCCUCCUUUCCUCCUGCCUUCCCUCUCCUAACCCUCAACUCUGCAGCUCUCCUGGGGUUGGAGUAUAGAUAAAGCCCUACCAGGACUUGUGUAGCCUGUCAAGGCUGGUUUCGGCGGCGUUUAGAAGAAAGGAGGCUGAGCGCAUUUACAUCUCCAGCUCCCACCGCCCGCCGGGACCGGUGGGGAGAGGCCAGCGGUCUGCACAGGGACUGCCCCGCCACGGCAAGGGCUCUGGGUGGCAGCUGGGGCUGCUGGGUGCAGAGGGGUGGUGUCUUGAGGCACCACAUUUCACCCCAGAAAGCAACCAUAGCCCCUAAAUUUGCCCCAGUUCCGGGAAACUCCUGCCAACCUCUCCCCACUCAAGUCUAAAAUGGACUGAGGGAACGGCGGGACAAGGCCCUUCCUGAGCAGAUGGGGACACUGAGCCCCGAAACUGAGUUCUGGAGAUUUGCAAGGUCAAGGUCACACAAUGGCUGACUGAGACCAGGAGGGAGGCUGGGAGUAUCUGGAGCGCAUAGCAACUCAGGGAGUGGAGAAGGAGCGGUCAGACCCAAGGCUCUCCAGCUCAGUGACCCCCCCCCCCCCCCGUCUUACCCACACCCCCCUCCCUCUUACCCACACCCCUGGCCCUUCUCUGACCUUCACAGGGCAGGUUAGGCACCUUCCGGGGGGCGGGGGAGCGAGUGUGGCAGGGCUGGGUGUCUAGGCCUGUGCUGCCUGGGGAUGUCAACUCUGUUCCUAUCCAGCCCCACUCUUUUUCCCUCUGCCUCCAGUCUCCGUGGCUUCUUGGGGCUUCUGUCUCCAAGGAGGCCUUGCAGCUGAGACACGGAACCCUAGGAAAAGAUGGCGGCAUCUACUCCCCAAAGGCCCUGGUGAGAUGAGGAUUUCGUGGGACCUCCAGUGUUCAGGCAAGCACAGUCCCUAGCAGAGCAGAACAUCCAAAAUGCCCCUCUUUCUUCACUGAUGUGGUCCUGUGUCCCUGGUCCUGUUCCUCCUUCCCAGGCAGGAAGUCUCUCUCAGGGGCUUCUCAGUCCUAACUGAGUCACAUCCAAGCACUUGGAAGGGUUGCCUGCUGGGGGAGAUGGGAAAACAGUAGAGACAAGGAAAAGCAAGUGUGGUUGGAAUUUUCCAUCCAUUCGGAACACUUAAAAAGCCUUAUUUAGCCGGGCGGUGGUGGCGCAAGCCUUUAAUCCCAGCACUCGGGAGGCAGAGGCAGGCGAUCUCUGUGAGUUCGAGGCCAGCCUGGGCUACCAAGUGAGUUCCAGGAAAGGCGCAAAGCUACACAGAGAAACCCUGUCUUGAAAAACAAAAACAAAAAAAAAGCCUUAUUUAUAUAAAAAUUAGCCAAUACUAUAUAUUAUUUGGCAAUUUAUUACACCUCAUUUUUCUUCGUAGUUACUAAUACUCCAUUGGUCACACAUUAUCUGCGUAUAGUACCUGAUCCCCAAUAGAUGGGGACACAUAUAGAUUGUGUCCAAACUUGUCCUCUAACCCCCAAGCCUCUGAAAACAAGCUGCUUUCACAUAGGAGGGGUCUUUGGAGCCAUCAACGACCCCUGCAGGAACAAGGGAGGGGAGGGGGCAAGCAGCUCUGGGAAGCUUCAUCUCCUUUCAUAGGCAAGAGGCAGGCUAGGCUUUUUCUAGAGCCAGACCCAAUGAGAGAAAUGGCCUCAGGAGAGCCAGCAUAGCAGGGACUGGAAGUCCACCGUGGUAAGGAAGGCCCUCAGAUCCCAGGGACCCAGGGGCAGGCAGAGCUGCCCAUGGCAGAGCUGCCCAUGGCAGUGCACACAGUCUGGAAAGGGUCGAGCAUGGUUGAGAACAGGGUGUAGUGAGGGUCCUUCAGGCACCCUCCCUCCCCUUCCCCAUGAACUUGGGGCCACCUCAGUCCACGUGGGAGCUUGGGCCCACGGAGGAGGAGGGCAGGAAGCCCCAAGCUCUAAGUUUGUCGCCUGACUCGGUAGCCGGCUCCUUGUAGCUUCAGUUUGCCAGCCUGCAAAUAUGAAUGUUGGCAGCAACUUCCUCACCAGGCAGGGGUUCUGAGGACUCACAAGGAGUCCAUGCAAAGACCACAGCCCAUUGCAAAGUCCCAGGGAGCCAUACUGUCACCUCCUCAGUACAGAGACUGUGGUGUAUGUGUUUUUCUCUGUAUGCCAGUGUGGACAUCUGUAUGUUCUUGCAUGUCACAUCUGCAUAUACAUUCAUGUGCACCUGUGCACAUAUAUAAAUGUAUGUGCAUGUACACAUGUGUAUGCCUAUCUCUCUAUUUGAGUGCAGCAUCCCAAACCACCUGUAUUAGUUGCUUAUCUGUUGCUGUGAUAAAAUGCCAUGAUCAAAGGCAGAUUAAGUAAGAGUUUGUUUUAGCUUCUGGUUCCAAAGAGCUAGAUGACCACAAUGUCUAGGAGCAGGAAAUGGAGAGAUCACAUCUCAGCUUCACAUAGGAAGCAUUGAGGGAGAACUUGGGGAAGGUAGACUGCAAAUUCUCAAGCCCCAUCCCCAGUGAUGUAUUCCUCAAGCAAGGUUCCACUUCCUAAAGUUCCCCAAACAGGGUCAUCAACCAGAAACCAAGUGUUCAAACACAUGAGGCUACAAGGGACAUUUCUCAUUCAAACUACCACACCACUCUGUGUGUCUGUCCUCUGUCCACUGAAGGAUGUUGUCACUUCUCAGUACACCUUUCAAUACACCUUUCUAACCUCUCUGGGCCUCAGUUACCUCAUCUGUAAGAUGAAAAUGACAAAGAGUUGUGAUAUUAAACAUAUUAGGCAAACACUCACAUACACACACAACAAAACAAAAGAACAAACUCAGGAGUAACUGGUAUGUGCUCAUGCAACUUGUAUGAAAUGAAACACAAGCAGAGGUAGCUACAUGCCAGCGCAUGGUGGAGGCUUUAAAAGCUCAGCACAGUUUGACUUGAAACAUACUGGGUCUUUUCUCUGAGGGAUAUACUCUGUGAGUUCUGCCCUCAGUCUAGAUUCCUGAAUAGAAACUGUGUGUGUGUGUGUGUGUGUGUGUGUGUGUGUGUGUGUGUGUGUGUGUGGCAGAGUGAUAGGCAAGGGUAGCCAAAGUGCAACCAAUGCUAAACCUGAGUACAAUCAAACUUUGAUCAUGGGAACCUACUGUUAGUCAGGUGGUGUUUGUUAUGAAGCAUAACCUAGCAAAAGUUUACCAUCACAGAAAAUGGUACUUAGAAGUAGUAGGCCACCAAAGCAAAUGUGUGGCAUGGGCUCUAGGAGACAGACAAUAGAUAACAAGGAGACACUUACUGAAGGCAAUAAAGUUGAUAGUCUGUGUUACACAGCAAGAAAUACUCAAUAAAACUCCUGGCUAUGAGAAUUUCAAAGCUGUAGAGAUAUGGCUCAGUGAUUAAAAGCACUGGCUGCUCUUCCAGAGAAUCCAGGUUCAAUUCCCAGAACCACAUGGCAGCUCACACCUGUCUGUAACUACAGUUCCAGGGCUUCUGACAUCCUCACAGACAUUCAUGCAGGCAAAACACCAAUGAACAUAGAAUAAAAAUAAAUUAUAAACACACACACACACACAAACAAAAGCAAAUAAGGAAACAAAACCUGUGCAUGGGAGGUGGGGGCAGGAAGAUCAGAAGUUCAAGGCUGCCUCUGGCUAAAUAAUUCAAGACUAGCUAGCCUAGGCUGAAUGAAAUCCUUUCUCUCAAACAAAACAGGGCUGAGGGUGCAUCUCAGUUGGUAAAGUGCUUAUCUAGCAUCCACAAAGCCCUGGGUUCAGUUCCCAGUGCCACAUAGACCAGGUUGGUGGAUGACACUGUGAUCUCAACACUUGAGAGAUAGAGGCAGGUAAAGCCACCCAAGACAAUCAACAAAUUCCCAGCUACAUGAGACAGUGUCUCAGAAGGAAGGGAGGGAGGGAGAAGGGAGGGACCGCAAAGCUGAUGGUCUUCUGUGGCUUUAGCUGAAGAGAUUGAGGUAAUGAAAUAGCUGACACACCUGAUCACUUUUUAUCUCAUGUUUCGUUAUCUGGGAUUCAAUCCAUAGAAUGCGUACACUGAUGCCCUUAGCCCCGCCAUGUCACUGAAUGACUGAAUGUGGAGGCAGUGUAGCCUUUUAUGACCACAGUGAGCUCAUGUACCAGGCUCUUAUAUGAUCCUUAGAAGAGAAACUGGGACACAGGGAAAGCUGUGGACAGCGGUCUUCGCAGUCUACAAGCCAAGGGGCAGGGUCCAGGCAGACCUUUCCUCCUGAGAGGGACACUGAUCUGCUGAUCCUUGAUCUUAACUUCCCAGAUCUGGGAAAUAAGUGUCUCUGUGGAACUGUGGUGUGUGGGGCUGACUGGUGUUUAGCAGUCACCCAAGGGGCAGGCUGUGUCUCGGAGGGCCCUGGGAGGAGAGAGGGCAUAUGGCUUCUGAGGAGGUAGCCUGCUUGCAAGCCAAGAGGAGAUGCAGAAAUUCUACAUUUUCAGAGUUGAAAGUGCAUCUGGUGCUUAUAUCUGCCCAGUGAAAGAGGAUCAGGGAUGCAGUUCCGUGGGUGUAGCACUUGCUAGCAUGCAUGAAGUCCUGAGUUCCAUCCUCAGAGCUGUGUAAACAGGACAUGGUAAGUGCCUGUAAUCCAGCACUGGGAGAGUAGAGGUAGAAGGACUCAGGAGUUCAAGUUCAUCCUCAGCUACACAGUGUGUUCAAGAUCAGCCUGCACUAAGUGGAGAUCCCAGCAGCCAGUGUCUAGAGGCCCAAGUCCAUGGUGCAUUCAGAGACAACCCCAAGAGCAUGAUGACCUGGUGCCAACCUCCAGCUGGGAGCAGCUGGGGCAGGUCCCAUCCUGCCAGUCCUACAGCUCACCUGCUCCCACCAGAGUGAGAAGCCAGGGCCAGGCCUGGAGUUUGGCCAUUUUCUGAAAGCAGACGGACAGACACAGUCCUGGCCCCUCUGGCAGUGAACUGCGUCUACAAAAUCCAAGUGACAAAUGACAUUUUAGUAAGACUCCUGACAUAUCUGUGCUUGGAACACAUGACACGAUCUUGGAGCAGAUAGGAGUUUUAAUUUUAACUUCAUCUGUGUCCCCAGAAAUGCAUUGUUGGAGAAGCCCAAUCGUGAAUUUUAAACUAUCUGUAGAGGCUUUUCAAAGCCGUCCAUAAAGCCAGUCAAUAAAGAACAUUCUAGACCAGAGAAACAACAGGACAAAGACAUGCUCAGUGUGAGUUCGGUCAGCACUCUCUCUGGGGUAGAGGUCCUGCCUGGUGUGGUCAUCACACUCUUUGUUGAGGUUGAUGUGUCCAGGUGUCACCUGCCUGUCAUCCCAGGCUUCGGCAAGAGGAUCCCACUCGGGGGUAGCCUGGGCUAAAUAGUGAGACUUAGACAAUGAAGCCACCAGGGAUUGGAAUGGAGCUCAGAAGUACAGCACCUUCCUGCCCUGAGUUCCUCUCCAGCACUGCAAUAAACAAACAAAUAAUCAGUACACAAAUAAGUGAUGAAAUAAUAUUAUCAAUGAAACAGGAAGACAAAGCCCUGAGGGGCUCAGAGCCUCCCAGAUCAAAUCUGGAGGGAUAAUUCCUGAAACACUUGGCGGCGGGACGGGGUGUGUGUGUGAGAAGAAGCUAACAGGUUGCUCAGCACUUGGGAGGCAGAGGCAGGUGGAUCUCUGUGAGUUCAAGUCCAGCCUGGUCUGCAGAGAGAGAGAGAGAGUGAGUUCCAGGACAGCCAGAGCUACAUAAUAAAACCUUGUCUUAAAAUAAAAGUGUUCAAGGUUAUCCUCAGCUAGAUAUGGAGUUGGACUCAUAAAGGGGCAAUAUUUCCUGUUUUAGUGGGGAACUUAGAGGGGGGCAUUAAUUUCCUUCCACAUUUAUUGCUGGCCCAGUGUGAUUGGACAGCCAUGGCCGCCAGAAAUAAUACCACAGACUGAAUGCUUAGACCAUCUCUUCCGGUUCCAGAGGCUGGAAGAGCAGGAUCAAGGUGUCACCAAAGUGAGGUUCUGUGUUUUUGUUUUUUGAGAAAACGUCUCACUAAAUAGCCUUGGUUUCCUGGAACUCACUGUGUAGAUCAGGCUAGCCUCAAACUCACAGAGAUCCGACUCUGUGCAGGGAUUAAAGGCAUGCCUACCACACCCAGCAGGUGGAUUCCCUUUAAGAUCUUCUUUCCUUCCUUCCUUCCUUCCUUCCUUCCUUCCUUCCUUCCUUCCUUCCCUUCUUCUUCCUCCUCGUCCCCACCCCCCUGUUUAUUUAUUUUUAGGUGUAUGAGUGCUUGCCUGCAUGUAUAUCUGUGUGCCAUCAGCAUGCCUGGUACCCUAAGAGGCCAGAGGAGAACACUGGAUCCCUUGGAACUGGAGUUACCCACAGUUGUGUGCACCAGGACAGCUUGUUUCUUAUGUGGGAACUGGAAAUCUGAACUCAGGUCUUCAAGCUUGCCCAGCGUACUUCAUGCAUCUGGCCCUUUCGUGUCUCAUCUCUGGCAUCUGUCUUGUUCCAAGCGACUCUCCUGGCUUGCACACAGGUGACACGUUUCUAGAAGUGGCUGGCUCCGAGGGGAAAAACACUCUGAGCUGUGGAGAUGCCCAUGGCACAGCUCCUGCCGCAUCCUCUGUUCAGAACCAGCUCCAGGCCAGCUCAGAUCAAACGAGGAGGAGCCCCGUGUCUGGAUACGGGGAUGACAAAGAGUCUGUGGCCAUCUUUAACCCACCAUGAGAGAGGUGUUGCUAUUGGCAACCAAGAUGGCAGAUGGCAAGUAGGUUGGUCAUUGUCCCUUUCUGCUGUGAUGAGACUUAUCCAGGCCUGUCCUGUCUCCAUGGGGCGGGCUGAGUUCCCCCUGCCUCACCCAGACACCCCGACACCAGCCAUAGCCUGUGAUGUGCUUUAGCCAAUGAAGCUACGCUGGAGACAGCAGGCUGCCGCGCAGCUUCAGGAGCCUGCAUGUGGGGAGGGCAGUCCAGGCAGUCCACUCUGCUUUUGCUUUGCCAAGAACAGCACGUUCCAGAGACACACCCUCUGUUCCCUGGAACUCACACCCAGGAGGCACAGCAUCUAAGCCUCGUCAUGGGUAUUUGUACACCCUCACUCCAUUCUCUAGCUUCCACAGGCCUUCAGCCCGUUCCAUUGUUCUGCAAGAAACACCUGGCAAGUUAGGUGUUGUCCAUUCUUCCUUAUGGUCGGGGGGCCUUGGGGGAUCCCCAUAAGCCCCUGUUGGGCGCAGGCAUCAAGCUUGCCUAGUGCAAGUCAGGGAGCGGCUGUCUACAGCUGGGCAGGUUGUCUAUAAAAUUCCUGACAUCUGGGAGCAUUGUGGCUCGGAGGGGCUAAGUAACUUGCCCAAGGCCCACUCCAGUAGUAAGUGGGAGAGUCAGGACUUGAACCCAAGAAUGCCAUGUGCCCAAACCCUUAACCACUGGGCUCCCACGUCCCUGACCCCACCAGUGGGUGGCAGGUAUUCGUAAGCUGACACAUGACGUGUCCCAUGAGCCUUCGGAAAGCCACCAAGGUCUGGGUGUAGUCCCAGAGGCCCCGGUCUCUGGAUGCACUAAUGUCAUAGAAACUGAAGGGACAGGAGAACAUAGCAUCUGGAACUCACCCCAUCCUGUCCCUGUCUCCCCAGCCCUUAGAGGAAAAGUGGAUGGGUCGGACUGGAGGUAUGCUCAGUAGGUGAGAUACUCCUUGUGUAGGUCUGAAGAGUUGAGUUCAGAUCCCCGGCAGGCAGGUGUAGUGUAGCAGGGCACUGUAACCUCAGCACUGGGAGACAGAGGAAGUGUAGCAGGGCACUGUAACCCCAGCACUGGGAGACAGAGGAAGUGUAGCAGGGCACUGUAACCCCAGCACUGGGAGACAGAGGAAGUGUAGCAGGGUACUGUAACCCCAGCACUGGGAGACAGAGGAAGUGUAGCAGGGUACUGUAACCCCAGCACUGGGAGACAGAGGAAGUGUAGCAGGGUACUGUAACCCCAGCACUGGGAGACAGAGGAAGUGUAGCAGGGCACUGUAACCCCAGCACUGGGAGACAGAGGAAGUGUAGCAGCACGCCUCACUGUAAUCCCAGCACUAGAAAGAGGAAGUGUAGCGGGGCAUUGUAACCCCAUCACUGGGAGACAGAGGCUAGAGAGGAGGAUUUUUGUGGCCAACUGACCAUGCAGUCCACCCAAGACCCAGGUUUAGUGAGAGAUUGUGUCUCAAAAAAUAAGGUGGUGAGGCUGGAAAGCGGUUAAGAACGUUUGCUAUUCUUGAAGAGGGCCUGGGUUUGGUUCCCAGCACAUGGCUGCACAACCAUCCCUAACUCCAGUUCCAGGGGAUCUGACACUUCUGAUGCUGUUCUGACCUUUGUAGGUGCUGUACACAUGUGGUGCUCAGACAUACAUUCAGAUGAAACACUCAUUCACACACAUCACAUUUUUUUGUUUUAAAUAAAUAAAUAUUUAUCUCAUUUUUUUUU